rnacentral:rRNA from 1 species
CCUACGGGUGGCAGCAGUGGGGAAUAUUGCACAAUGGGGGAAACCCUGAAGCAGCGACGCCGCGUGAGGGAGGAAGUAUUUCGGGAUGUAAAGCUCUGUUAGCAGGGAAGAAGAAUGACGGUACCUGAAGAAGAAGCAACGGCUAAAUACGUGCCAGCAGCCGCGGUAAUACGGAUGGUGCAAGCGUUAUCCGGAUUUACUGGGUGUAAAGGGAGCGCAGGCGGUUCGUCAAGUCUGAUGUGAAAGCCCGGGGCUCAACCGCGGGACUGCAUUGGAAAAUGCGGGACUUGAGUGUCGGAGGGGUAAGCGGAAUUCCUGGUGUAGCGGUGAAAUGCGUAGAUAUCAGGAAGAACACCGGUGGCGAAGGCGGCUUACUGGACUAUGACUGACGCUGAGGCUCGAAAGCGUGGGGAGCAAACAGGAUUAGAUACCCGUGUAGUC